AGAGUUUGAUCCUGGCUCAGAACGAACGUUAGCGGCGCGCCUAACACAUGCAAGUCGAGCGAGAAAGGGGCUUCGGCCCCCGGUAAAGCGGCGCACGGGUGAGUAACACGUGGGUAACGUACCCCUAGGUGGGGGAUAACGUCCCGAAAGGGACGCUAAUACCGCAUAAGACCACGUCCCGAAAUGGAUGAGGUCAAAGCAAGCCUCUGUACACAAGCUUGCGCCAAGGGAUCGGCCCGCGGCCCAUCAGGUAGUUGGCAGGGUAAUGGCCUACCAAGCCUAAGACGGGUAGCUGGUCUGAGAGGAUGAUCAGCCACACUGGAACUGAGACACGGUCCAGACUCCUACGGGAGGCAGCAGUGGGGAAUCUUGCGCAAUGGGCGAAAGCCUGACGCAGCGACGCCGCGUGAGCGAUGAAGGCCUUAGGGUUGUAAAGCUCUGUGGAGAGGGACGAAUUAGUCGGCGCGAACAGCUCCGAUGAUGACGGUACCUCUUUAGCAAGCACCGGCUAACUCUGUGCCAGCAGCCGCGGUAAGACAGAGGGUGCAAACGUUGUUCGGAAUUACUGGGCGUAAAGCGCAUGUA
rnacentral:rRNA from 1 species